CUACGGGGGGCUGCAGUGAGGAAUAUUGCGCAAUGGACGAAAGUCUGACGCAGCCAUGCCGCGUGCAGGAUGACGGCCCUAUGGGUUGUAAACUGCUUUUGUAUGGGAAUAAACCCUUCUACGUGUAGAAGGCUGAAGGUACCAUAAGAAUAAGCACCGGCUAACUCCGUGCCAGCAGCCGCGGUAAUACGGAGGGUGCAAGCGUUAUCCGGAUUUAUUGGGUUUAAAGGGUCCGUAGGCGGGCCGAUAAGUCAGUGGUGAAAGCCCAUAGCUCAACUAUGGAACUGCCAUUGAUACUGUCGGUCUUGAGUAUAUGUGAUGUUGGCGGAAUGUGUAGUGUAGCGGUGAAAUGCUUAGAUAUUACACAGAACACCGAUUGCGAAGGCAGCUGACAAAUAUAUAACUGACGCUGAGGGACGAAAGUGUGGGGAUCAAACAGGAUUAGAUACCCUUGUAGUC
rnacentral:rRNA from 1 species